AAAGCCACCUCGCGGCGCCCAUCCCUGGCGCCGCCCCGCCCUGUCACCGCCUCCUCCUCACCUCACCCCCGAGUCGCCCCCGACGCCCGUCCGCGCGCCGCCCUCGAUCUGGAACUGGGACUCCGUCCCGAUGCCACAGCCGCUUGGAGUCCCCCUCGCCGGAGCCACGACACCGCCGAACCGCGACCUCGUCUCCUCCUCGCGCCGCUUCAUCAAGCCUCAUCGCCCCCGUUCCUCUACGCGCCCACCCCGAGACCGAUGCCGCCGCUGCGAUCGACUACGUCUCUGACGAGCCUUCUUCCUUUUCAACAGAGCUUCCAGGCAAGCAAACCCCCCAUGACGGAUUCCAGGAGCCAAACGACACCACUGAUGACUACUACAACCCCGAGGGUGCCUACUACGUGACGACCGCUGACGACCUGGAGUAGUUAGGAGGCUCCCAGGCAGGAGGCCUUGCCUUUUUGAUCAAUGUUGCUUUUGUGCUAGCCUUCUUAAGGCAAAACUUGUUUAACUUAUGUCUGUACUCAGAUAUUGUUGCUUCCGCUGACUCUUGUGUAUUCGAGCCCUUGAGGCCCCUGGC
rnacentral:rRNA from 1 species